AUGACCAGAGAGAAAGAACUGUGACCAUUACCAUUAAAACGUUCACGUCCUGGCCUAUACAUUUCUUUUACCGUUGCCUUCAAUUUCCAUAUAUUUUGGUUCUUCAAGUUAGCUGGACGUUCUAUGAGGUCAGGGAGCAAGUGUAUAUCCCUAAACUGCUGAGCCUCAACACUCACAGGAUGCCUACCAACAGCAUCCAACUCUUUUAAGAGACUUAAACACCCAGGUUACUGUCCAAAUGAG
rnacentral:lncRNA from 1 species